rnacentral:tRNA from 1 species
AUCUAAAUAGUUUAAUAAAAAUUUUAAUUUGUGGAAUUAAAGAUGUAAACAAUUUUACUUUAGAUA